rnacentral:rRNA from 1 species
UGGGGAAUAUUGGACAAUGGGCGAAAGCCUGAUCCAGCCAUGCCGCGUGUGUGAAGAAGGUCUUCGGAUCGUAAAGCACUUUAAGUCGGGAGGAAGGGCAGUAAGCGAAUACCUUGCUGCUCUGACGUUACCGACAGAAUAAGCACCGGCUAACUCUGUGCCAGCAGCCGCGGUAAUACAGAGGGUGCAAGCGUUAAUCGGAAUUACUGGGCGUAAAGCGCGCGUAGGUGGUUCGUUAAGUUGAAUGUGAAAGCCCCGGGCUCAACCUGGGAACUGCAUCCAAAACGGGCGAGCUAGAGUAGGGCAGAGGGUGGUGGAAUUUCCUGUGUAGCGGUGAAAUGCGUAGAUAUAAGAAGGAGCACCAGUGGGGAAGGCGACCACCUGGGCUCAUACUGACACUGAAGUGCGAAAGCGUGGGGAGCAAACAGG